GGGCGUAGUUUAAUGGUAGAACAUCAGCUUCCCAAGCUGAAUACGAGGGUUCGAUUCCCUUCGCCC
rnacentral:tRNA from 1 species